rnacentral:rRNA from 1 species
GUUUGACCUCGGAUCAGGUAGGAAUACCCGCUGAACUUAAGCAUAUCAAUAAGCGGAGGAAAAGAAACCAACAGGGAUUGCCCCUAGUAACGGCGAGUGAAGCGGCAACAGCUCAAAUUUGAAAUCUGCCUCCGG